CAUCAUGUAGGUGCUAGGAACUGAAC
rnacentral:piRNA from 1 species